UACAGAGGGGGCAAGCGUUGUUCGGAAUUACUGGGCGUAAAGGGCGCGUAGGCGGCCUGUUAAGUCGAACGUGAAAUCCCCGGGCUCAACCCGGGAACUGCGUCUGAUACUGGAUGGCUUGAGUUUGGGAGAGGGAUGCGGAAUUCCAGGUGUAGCGGUGAAAUGCGUAGAUAUCUGGAGGAACACCGGUGGCGAAGGCAGGUCUCUGGGCCACUACUGACGCUGAGAAGCGAAAGCAUGGGGAGCGAACAGG
rnacentral:rRNA from 1 species